GGCAGCGCCCGCGGCUCCCCACCCCUCACCUCGCCGAGCCCAGCAGAGGGAGCCGAGCAAGCGUUCCCGCCGGUCCCGGAGGCUGAGUUAUCUGAAGAGGAGCAGGAGAGAGAGUCAAGCUCAGAAAGUGAGAGAACAGCGGAACUGGAAAGGUCCUGAGGUUGACAAGACAGAACUCAGGGGCUCCGGAAUGGGAAAAACGUCGUCAGGACAGAAAACAUCUUCUAAAGAUCAGAGUUAACAGGAAUCAACAUGAAGCAGGCCAUACCAGCAACCAAAAAUGAGGACAGUGCAUCUACUC